rnacentral:rRNA from 1 species
AGGCUUGGAUUGGACUCGACAGUUGGCGAGCUUCGCUGGCUUGUGAAGCUCUACCGGCCCUCCCUCCUCUUUCUUUCAGAGACGAAGAUGAGGGAUGUGAGAGUAAAGAACUUUAUGUGGUCUCUGGGUUUUUCUGGUUGUUAUGAUGUCAGUAGUGAGGGUCUCAGUGGUGGCCUUGCUCUUUUUUGGACGUCUUCUUCUGUUAAGGCGGCCAACAAGCGGUGCAUUGAUGUUCAUGUUAAAUUAGGGGUCGGUAUGACUUGGCGUGCUUCGUUUGUCUAUGGAGAGCCAAGGAGGGAGGACAGACCACAUUUCUGGGAAUUUCUUCGUCGUAUGCGUUCUUCCUGGAAUGGUCCUUGGGUUUGCUGUGGCGACUUCAAUGAGGUUCUCUCUCAAGAUGAGCAUUGUGGGCCGAGAGACCGUUCUGAUUCUCAAAUUGAUGCUUUUCGGGAUUGUAUGAUGGAUUGUGGCCUGGCUGACCUGGGUUUCACAGGACCAGAGUUCACCAGGUGUAACAAGCAAGACCCAAAUAGUCAUGUCAGGUGUCGUUUGGACCGAGCCAUUGCUAACUCUGCUUUCUCAAAUCUGUUUGAAGCAUGCUGUGUGGAGAAUAUUAUAGCUACUACCUCGGAUCACUACCCUAUCCUUAUCUCUCUGGACCGGGGUUCGCAGAUUCGACAUCCAACUCCUGUGCAGUAA